rnacentral:lncRNA from 1 species
AGCCCUAAUCAAUGCUAAUUCUUCUUCAGUAGCUAGUGCCAUCCGCUAGAUCUUACUGUUAUAUAUGAUCAUUGUAAUAGAGAGUAAUCAGGCAGCUAGCUCAUGAAACUGGCUAGGAUAACUAGAUCCCCUGCCCGUCUCGGGAUGGGAUCCACCCCUGACGCAGUUAUAAAUGAUGCUAACAUCCUUAUGAAUGAAUAAAGGAGAUGAUUAUCAAGAAAAAAGACCGCAUCAUGUUCAUACAUUAACCACAGCCGGAACUAUCAUUCAAGAUACGAUGCACCGAAAGAGCAGGUGACUAACUACUGCCAGAACUAUCGUUCAAGAUACGAUGCACCGAAAGAGCAGGUGACUAUGGUAAUAUACUGUUUAGUUCAGCAGCAAGCUGCAGCCAACUUGCUCACCCCGAAACCUGGCUACAACAUGUACAUGAUUCCGUAGGGUGGUUUCAGGACAGGACAAUUAUGAAAGGCAAAAGAGCAGGACGAAAGCAGCCUGAAAGCAGCCCUAAGCUAGUAUCUACUGCAAGAUCUUCCAUGCCAUCCAGCAAAGUGACAACAUACCAACAGACAUCAGCAUGCAG